rnacentral:rRNA from 1 species
AAUAGAUACCCUGGUAGUCCACGCCGUAAACGAUGUCGACUUGGAGGUUGUGCCCUUGAGGCGUGGCUUCCGGAGCUAACGCGUUAAGUCGACCGCCUGGGGAGUACGGCCGCAAGGUUAAAACUCAAAUGAAUUGACGGGGGGCCCGCACAAGCGGUGGAGCAUGUGGUUUAAUUCGAUGCAACGCGAAGAACCUUACCUACUCUUGACAUCCAGAGAACUUUCCAGAGAUGGAUUGGUGCCUUCGGGAACUCUGAGACAGGUGCUGCAUGGCUGUCGUCAGCUCGUGUUGUGAAAUGUUGGGUUAAGUCCCGCAACGAGCGCAACCCUUAUCCUUUGUUGCCAGCGGUCCGGCCGGGAACUCAAAGGAGACUGCCAGUGAUAAACUGGAGGAAGGUGGGGAUGACGUCAAGUCAUCAUGGCCCUUACGAGUAGGGCUACACACGUGCUACAAUGGCGCAUACAGAGAGAAGCGACCUCGCGAGAGCAAGCGGACCUCAUAAAGUGCGUCGUAGUCCGGAUUGGAGU